rnacentral:rRNA from 1 species
UACGUAGGGUGCAAGCGUUGUCCGGAAUUAUUGGGCGUAAAGAGCUCGUAGGCGGUCUGUCGCGUCGGCUGUGAAAACCUGGGGCUUAACUCCGGGCCUGCAGCCGAUACGGGCAGACUAGAGUUCGGCAGGGGAGACUGGAAUUCCUGGUGUAGCGGUGAAAUGCGCAGAUAUCAGGAGGAACACCGGUGGCGAAGGCGGGUCUCUGGGCCGAAACUGACGCUGAGACGCGAAAGCUAGGGGAGCAAACGGG